rfam:Triticum aestivum genome assembly, contig: Triticum_aestivum_CS42_TGACv1_scaffold_322891_4BL
CAAAUACUCCCUCCGUCCGGAAAUACUUUUCAUCAAAAUGGAUAAAAGGAAAUGUAUCUAGACGUAUUUUAGUUUUAGGUACAUCUAUUUUUAUCCAUUUUGUUGACAAGUAUUUUCGGACAUAGGGAGUAGAAA